GCAGGUAUUUGUGUGAACCCAGGCCGUCUGACUUGAGUGCGCGAGCCCAUUUUAUUUUCUGCUGCAGGCCCUGUGCGGCUCCAGAGCACCUCUGCCCCUAGGGCACUCGUCCCUGGGGACAGCGUCAGCCUUCAAAGGCCAGCUGCCGUGAAGACGGCAGCGGCAUUUGUCCUUGAGCCAGUCGGGCGUCUAGAGAGACGAGGGUUAGGAGUGGGAUUAUGACAAAGGAAAAGAAAGGAUUUGGACUUCUUUUCUACGUGUAUUGAUACAUGUAGUUGAUGAAUGUGGUGCACUAAAAAUACUUCUGGGAAAGGGAUAGAAUAAAAUGAAUAAGUGCAAAUGGACACGAACAGUGUCCUUAGAUGAAACUCAUAGCACGAGGAUGGGAAAUUCCCGCCAGCAGGAAGUUAGGCUCUGAUAUUCGACCUUGAACCUUUUUUUUUUUUUAAUCGGAGCGGACUUAAAAAGACCUUCCAAAAGAUAGUUUAACUUCCUCGUUUUGUAGUUGAAGAAAAUGAGGUGCGGAGCGACGACUUCACGUUUCACUAUCGUGUGUAGGUUAAAAUUAGAAAUCGUAAUAGAAAGGAAGGUGCCCAGUUACAAGUUAGUCUACUUUUGACCUCUUUCUUUGUAGCUUACUAGGUGAAUUACGGGUGAUUGAGAUGUGUUGGAAAUAUUUCACCCUUAAUGGCAGUUGGGAUCUUUUGUGGAUGGAAGCCUGUUUACAUUCAGUUCAUUUGUUUAGCAUUUUCUGUUAACGCUCCUGUGCAUAUGCAACAUAGGAGACACCUCCAAAGACAAGUAUGUAUUUUAGACUUUUUAAAAGCCAGUGUAGUCAUUAACGAAAUAAUAAAUGUUCUUGUGUUGCAGCCCAAAUCAUCACAUCACAAAUGUCUACUGGAGAUAAAACUACAAUAAAAAUUUUGGGACUAGUUCAUUGGAAUGGCUUUCAACUUUUUUUUUUAAAGACGUAUCUUCUGUUUGGGCACUUUCAAGGAUUGGUCUUUAAGGAUUUUUUUUGCGGUCGGAGCACAUACAGCCUUGAUCCUAAAGCCAACACAAAGUGAUCUGUUUGAAAAAUUUUAGUAUUACAAGCCAAAAGCGAGUUCCCUUCUGAAAUUGGGAAACUCCAUCAGAAAAUACUCUGAUUAGCUCUUAGACCUUAGCCCUGAGAGUUCAGAGAAAAUAACCAGGUAAAACUUCUCUUGAACCAGGAAAAAGUUGAAAUUGGACCUUCCACACCUGCUGCUAGCAGAGAUGUUACAUGAUCCUCAGAUCUGUUUAAGUACCUCAUUUACACUAAUUAAAAUCGCAGAGUGGAGUUAAUUUAUGGAAUUGUAAAUCUUAUGGGAUUUUAAAGAUCAUUUCAAGAGCUAAAAUAUGUAAGGUAGCAUAUCACUAAUGAAUAGAUAUUGGGUUUUUUUAGAUCUUUUGGAUCUCAUCUACUCAUUUUAAAAUAGAGCAGUCAGUCUUGAAGUUCAUUUGUCAUUAUUUUACUUGCCUUAGGUUUGUUUGGGUGGUUCAAUUAGAACUGGUAAACUGGAGAUUGUGUUUAUUGUUUUUCUUAAGGAUUUCUAAGUGGCCAAUUUUUCUUCACUUAAUGAGGUUAAGAACUGUCCUGUCCUUCCCCUUUCCCUACCAUAGUACCUUUUCACUAUUUCUUGAGAAAAUAUUUAAGGGAAAGUGUGAUUUUUAAAAUGUAUUUUUCCUGUCCUUUUCAUGGAGUACAAUUUGGAAAUACUGACUUCAAAAGUUCUAUGACUUGUAUAAACUUAGAUGUAAAAUUCAUGGAAAGUAAGCUUCCUUUAGUGAAAAUAGAUGAUUUCCUCCCUCCCCUUUUAUUCCCAGGUCUUGUUUCGUAUCUGAUCUUUCUAGACGAUAGUGAUUUUGCUUUUACAUUGUUCUUAGGAAUAUUAUUUUUGAGUGAUUUUGUAAUAUAUGCUGCAGAAGGUUUAUGAUCCUGUUGAUCUGAAAGCAGUGUAAUAAGGGAGUAAUCUCCAAAUAGGAAUACUUGGAAUGUUUGUUUGAUGAACUUUGCCUUGAAAGAAUGGCAUGUAUCUUUUAGGAAGUCUUCCGUUCUUCACAUUGGCAUUGGGAGGGGGGAAUGACUGUUACUGAUAAUUGAAACAAUAAAAUUAGUUGACCCUUAAACAACUGAGGUUUGAGCUCACUGACACCCUGAAUAGUUGAAAAUCCAUGUAUAACAUUUGACUUCCCCAAAACUUAACUGCUAAUAGCUACUGUUGGCUGGAAGCCUAACAAAUAACAGUCCAUUAACUCAUAUUUUGUAUAUGUACUAUAUACUGUAUUAUAAUAAAGUAAACUAGAAAAAAGGAAAAUGUUAUUAAAAAUCACAAGGAAGAGAAUACUGUAUUAAUGCUUUAGGUUGACGUCUAUUGACAAGGUGAAUUGUGCGUACCUGCAUCAGUAUUGUCUUAAUGAUACAAAACACUAGAUGUUACAUGUAUUACUAAUGUUACCCUUCAAAAAUGAAAGCAUGAUGUGGACAGGAAAUUCAUACUUAUUUACAGAUACAAUGAUUCAUGCAUUGAUAACAAAGCAACAGUAGGAUUCUGGUAGUCUAAUAUAAUUGAUGUUUCACAAUUGCCUGUCCUACACACUAAUUGAUGAAUUGCUAUAAAAUUUUCAUGGCAUACAGUAUGAGUGUCAUAUUCAUAAUACAGUAUUGGACAUACCUGACUUCUAAAUUUAUUCAGUAUUUCUAGGUGAUUGGGUUUGAGUUUUUUCAAGGUGUUGAGUAUCUCCAAAAAAUAUUUCCCAG